GGGAAUAUGACUUAGUGGUAGAGUGCUUGCCUGGCAUGCAUAAGGCCCUGGGUUUGAUUCCUUGGUACCCU
rnacentral:tRNA from 1 species